UGAAGGUGUGUACUGCAGACAGAGAUGAUACACACAUCAUGUGGGUGUUAAACACGGUGUGUCCUGUUUCACACAGAUCUCACAGUCACACUUUCCGGCUCAUCACAAGUGUCUCUCAAUCCAGAUGGAGCUGUAAAGUGUCAUCUAACCAAUCAAACAGGAUCAAACAUGAGAUAUAAAUGGAGUGUAGAAAGGAAAACACAUACAGAAAACUGCUGGAGCAUGAGAAUCCACAGAACAGCGAAAAACAAGAGAAUUAGAAAAAUAGAGGCCAGAAAUGAGACACAAACCAGUGGAUCUCAAGAGAAAAGCAGACAGAGACUUGUUAGACGGAGCAGUAUGGAUAGAAUAAAUCCAGAAUUCUAAUGUGAUUUAGAUGAGCCUGUAAAGAGUCGCUCUGAGUUAAAGCUGAGGUGAGAUUCUCACAUCAAAACCCUUCAGAUGUUCUCAAGGACAAACACCAGACCUCUGAGACACCAGCAGCUGAAAACAGAUCAUCUUCAUCAUCAUCGCCAUCAUCUUCAUCAUCAUCAUCAUCACAGAUUCCAUUGCUAACUAUUCUCUCAGAUCUUUAUCUCAAAUGCUGCACUUUAAUGACAACAAUUUAACUCGAUGAAUGUUUGAUCUGCAUCUGUGUGACACAGAGACUUUUUUUUACAAAAUAUUUUUAAUUUUGCACAUAUUCAUGUACAUUUUUACAUGCUUUAGAUUGUUUUCUGGAUAUGUUUGUACCGUUUAUACCAUUUAUUUUAUAUGCAUUUAUUAUUCAUGUUUUCACCAUAUUCUACAUUUAUGCAACAAGCACUGGAGAUGAUAAUGGUUCGGUAUAUUUCAUUUGUGCAGUUGACAUAUUUAGCUAUGCAGAACUUAUUUGUACAGAGUAGAGGCCAAAUGUGUUUUCUGGCCUGGAAAAAUUUAUAUAUUGUACAUAUUUUUUGUAUCUAUAAAAUGCUACAUGCACUUAAAUCUUAAGUGCUCCUGAUUAGCCUAAAUGUGUCUAUGUUUACGCGAAUCAUUCAUGAUCCAGCUUCACCAACAGAAGAAUUGAGUGUAAGGUUUUUUUAAUGAAUCUUUGCAAAUCGCCCUUUCUUAGCAGCUCGGAAGAAAGGGGGAGGAGUAAUCAGAGCUCAUUAACAUUUAAAGGAAAAUGCAAUAAAACUGUGUGCUCUGAAAAAGAAAGGGUUAAAAAUAUGUUGUUGUUUUUUACACUACCAUUGAGAAAUUUUAACCAAACUAUGUUACAGACUUGUCCUUAAGACCCUAAA